CCGUCCGCCACGUGGAACGAGAUGUCCACCCCGGGGGCGGGACGGUUACGCUGACGACGUGCGCCUCCCGCCCGGUGGCGCAAAGCCGACAGCCGUCGCACCUCAGGGAGCACCUCCAUG
rnacentral:sRNA from 1 species